GAAGGUAAAACACCUGUAGACGAAAGGACGAAGAUUGCAGAAGGAAUCCCAAGUACUGCGGGACACGAGAAACCCCGUGGGAAUCAGGGGGGACCACCCCCCAAGGCUAAAUACUCUUAGCGACCGAUAGUGAACAAGUACCGUGAGGGAAAGGUGAAAAGCACCCCGGGAGGGGAGUGAAAAAGAACCUGAAACCGUGUGCCUACAAGCUGUCGAAGGGCGUUAAAAGCCUGACGGCGUACUUUUUGUAGAACGGACCGGCGAGUUACAUCUAACGUGCAGGUUAAGGCAGGAAAGCCGGAGCCGAAGCGAAAGCAAGUCUUAAUAGGGCGCAAUGUACGUUGGAGUAGACCCGAAACCUGGUGAUCUACCCAUGUCCAGAGUGAAGCUUUAGUAAAAUAAAGUGGAGGCUCGAACCGACCUUCGUUGAAAAGGAGGCGGAUGAGGUGUGGGUAGGGGUGAAAUGCCAAUCGAACCAGGAGAUAGCUGGUUCUCCCCGAAAUAGCUUUAGGGCUAGCCUCGGUAUAAGAUUAGCGGAGGUAGAGCACUGAAUGGGCUAGGGGCCUUCACGGGUUACCGAACCCAAUCAAACUCCGAAUGCCGCAUAAUUAUAACCGGGAGUCAGACUGCGGGUGCUAAGAUUCGUAGUCAAAAGGGAAACAGCCCAGACCAACAGCUAAGGUCCCAAAGACAGGCUAAGUGGAAAAGGAUGUGGGGUUGCACAGACAACCAGGAUGUUGGCUUAGAAGCAGCCACCAUUUAAAGAGUGCGUAAUAGCUCACUGGUCAAGUGGCCCUGCGCCGAAAAUGAAACGGGGCUAAGCCUGGCACCGAAGCUUUGGAUUCUCGAGGUUCGAUGUUCGAGAUUCGAUGUUCGAAAGGGGAACUCGUAUGAUAAGAGAUUAUCAUGAUCUUGAAGUGUACAAGAGGGGAUAUAAGCUGGCUCUUGAAAUACACAAAUCAACAAAGAGUUUUCCACAGCAUGAGUUGUAUGAGAUAGGGAGCCAAAUAAGACGUGCGGCCGUAUCGAUACCGCUAAAUAUAGCCGAAGGAUAUGGCAGAAAGAACUAUGUAGAUGAUUUUAAAAGGUUCUUAAUAAACGCACUUGGAUCUUGUAAUGAAGUUGCAGUUUUGCUAGAUAUGAUUAACGACCUAGGAUAUAUACCAGAACGGUAUGGGGAAUUAAAAGAGGAGUACGAUCAUCUAGGAAGGCAACUUAACAAACUAAUACAAACAUGGAAAUAAUCGAAUUUCGAACUUCGAAUAUCGAACUUCGAGAAUGGUAGGGGAGCGUUCCUAUUGCGUUGAAGCAGUACCGUGAGGAGCUGUGGAGUGGUAGGAAGUGAGAAUGCCGGUAUGAGUAAGCGAAAAGGCAGGUGAGAAUCCUGCCCGCCGAAAACCUAAGGUUUUCUGGGGAAGGUUCGUCCGCCCAGAGUAAGUCGGGACCUAAGCCGAGGCCGCAAGGCGUAGGCGAUGGACAAUCGGUUGAGAAUCCGAUACCACCAAAUACCGUUUGAGUGAAGGAGUGACGCAGGAGGGUAAGUCAAGCCAGCGGUUGGAAAAGCUGGUCCAAGCCCGUAGGGU
rnacentral:rRNA from 1 species